rnacentral:rRNA from 1 species
GAAGGUCUUAGGAUUGUAAAAUUCUUUCACCGGGGACGAUAAUGACGGUACCCGGAGAAGAAGCCCCGGCUAACUUCGUGCCAGCAGCCGCGGUAAUACGAAGGGGGCUAGCGUUGCUCGGAAUUACUGGGCGUAAAGGGAGCGUAGGCGGAUAGUUUAGUCAGAGGUGAAAGCCCAGGGCUCAACCUUGGAAUUGCCCUUGAUACUGGCUAUCUUGAGUACGGAAGAGGUAUGUGGAACUCCGAGUGUAGAGGUGAAAUUCGUAGAUAUUCGGAAGAACACCAGUGGCGAAGGCGACAUACUGGUCCGUUACUGACGCUGAGGCUCGAAAGCGUGGGGAGCAAACAGGAUUAGAUACCCUGGUAGUCCACGCUGUAAACGAUGAGUGCUAGUUGUCGGCAUGCAUGCAUGUCGGUGACGCAGCUAACGCAUUAAGCACUCCGCCUGGG